rnacentral:lncRNA from 1 species
GCUUGUCUCUGUGGGGACGCGCGGCGUCUGCUGCGUUCCCGUUUGUCUGACCGUGUGUGAAAUGCGUGUCCGCCAGCUCGCAUUGCUGUGGCCUGCUGCAGCCGUGUGGUCUCGCUCAGGCACGGUCCGGGCGGUGAGUCGGCCAGGUUUGCUUCCUUCCAUUUGCAUGGGCGGGGCAUUCCAUUUGCAUGGCGGGGGGAGGAGGCUUAGUUUCUUUGCGUAUCAUCAUCAUCAUCAUUUCUCGGAGGCGGUGCGUUUUUCGACCUAUGUUCAUAGGGAGUUUUUGUUCCUUGCUAUUGAA